rnacentral:rRNA from 1 species
ACAGCAGUAGCCGCGGGAAUACAGAGGGUGCGAGCGUUAAUCGGAUUUACUGGGCGUAAAGCGUGCGUAGGCGGCUUCUUAAGUCGGAUGUGAAAUCCCUGAGCUUAACUUAGGAAUUGCAUUUGAUACUGGGAAGCUAGAGUAUGGGAGAGGAUGGUAGAAUUCCAGGUGUAGCGGUGAAAUGCGUAGAGAUCUGGAGGAAUACCGAUGGCGAAGGCAGCCAUCUGGCCUAAUACUGACGCUGAGGUACGAAAGCAUGGGGAGCAAACAGGAUUAGAUACCCCAGUAGUCCCUGUCUCUUAUAC